ensembl:lncRNA novel transcript
CCCCUUAGGUGGCUUAGGCCUGCCCUGUGGAGCAUCCCUGUGGGGGACUCCAGCCAGCUUGAGUGACGCGGAUCCUGAGAGUGCUCCCGGGUAGGCAAUUGCCCCGGUGGAAGGCUUCGCCGGAGCAGUGAAUGGCAGGCCCCCGUGGAGGAUCAACACAGUGACUGAACACCAGGAAGGAACAGGCACUUGGAGUCCAGACAUCUGAAACUUGGUGAUCACGUGUGGAUCAAGGACUGGAACAGAGCCCCUUUGCGGCCAUGGUGGAAAGGACCUCAGACCGUUAUCUGGACCACCCCCACGGCUGUAAAGGUAGAAGGAAUCCCAGCCUGGAUCCACCACAGCCAUGUGAAACCUGCAGCCGCUGAAACCUGGGAGGCAAAACCAAGCCUGGACAAUCCCUGCAAAGUGACUCUGAGGAGGACGACAAGCCCUGCUCCAGUCACACCCGGAAACUGGUCUACACAUGGCUGAAGCAUGAGGAGAAUCAUCAUGGGACUCAUUUUUCUUAUAAUUUGGACUUGUAUAGUAAAAACUUCCACUGAUAUUCCCCGCAGGGAGGACUGCUCUCAGUGUAUACAUCAGGUUACUCGAGGUAAGGCAACAAGUUAAAACAAUCUUUCUGUUCUAUAGUUACUAUGAAUGCUUAGGAUCUUUAAAAGGAACAUGUUUAUAUAAUGACACUCAGUACAAAGUAUGUAGCCCGGGAAACGACAGACCAGAUGUGUGUUAUGACCCCUCUGACUCUCCCAUGUUCACAGUUUUUGAAAUAAGAUUAAAGACUGAAGACUAGUGGGGACUCCUAAAUGAUACAAGUAAAGUGUUAGCCGGAACAGAAGGAAAAGGGGUGCCUAAAUGCAUAAUAUUGAAAUUUGAUGCCUGUGCUGUCAUUAAUAGCAAUAAGUUAGAAAGGGGAUGUGGGUCUUUUAGUUGGGAAAAAGGCUAUAUGACCGAAAAUAGUACAUUUGUCAUGAAUUAGGACUGUGUGGAAAUGAAUGUGGAUACCGGUCUUGUGUCAUUUGGGCCACUUGGAUAAAAAAUGAAAAGGAUCCAGUCCACUUUCAGAAAGGGAAAAAUGGCCCUUCCUGUACUAAGGGACAAUGUAACCCCUUAGAGCUGGUAAUAACCAAUCCCUUGAUCCUCGCUGGAAAAAAGGGGAGCGUGUGACCUUAGGAAUCGACGAGGCUGGACUGGAUCCUUGAGUAAAUAUCUUGGUUCAAGGAGAAGUUUCAAACACUCUCCUGAACCAGUGUUUCAAACUUUCUAUGAUGAACUAAAUGUGCCAGUACCAGAAAUUCCAGGAAAAACAAGAAUUUGUUUUUGCAAUUAGCCGAGCAUGUAGCCCAGUCUCUCAACAUCACUUCUUGCUGUGUAUGUGGAGGAACUGUAAUGGGAGAUCAAUGGCCAUGGAAAGCCCGAGAAUUAGUACCUACAGACCCAGUUCCUGAUGAAUUUCCGGCUCAAAAGAAUCACCCUCAUAAUUUCUGGGUCCUAAAAUUCCCAAUUAUUGGACAAUAUUGCAUAGCUAGAGAAGGAAAUAAUUCACUCACCCUGUAAGACGACUUAGUUGUCUGGGACAGAAACUGUAUAAUGGUACCAAAAAAACAGUCACUUGUUGGAGUUCAAAUCACACAGAGAGGAAUCCAUUUAGUAAAUUCCCAAAGUUGCAAACCGUAUGGACCCACCUGGAGUCCCACCGGGACUGGACAGCCCCCACUGGAUUAUACUGGGUAAGUGGGCAUAGAGUUUAUGCCAGAUUACCUGACCAGUGGGCAAGUAGUUGUGUUAUUGGCACUAUUAAACCAUCUUUCUUCCUAGCCCAUAAAAACAGGUGAACUCCUGGGCUUCCCUGUCUAUGCGUCCCACAAAAAGGGAAGCAUAGCUAUAGAAAAUUGGAAAGAUGAUGAAUGGCCCCCUGAGAGACUCAUACAAUAUUAUGGGGCUGCUACUUGGGCACAAGAUGGCUCAUGGGGAUACUGGACCCCCAUUUACAAGAUCAACCAAAUCAUACGGUUACAAGCUGUCUUAGAAAUAAUCACUAAUAAAACUGGCAGAGCCUUGACUGUUCUGGCCUGGCAAGAAACUCAGAUGAGAAAUGCUAUCUACCAAAAUAGAUUGGCUCUUGAAUACUUGCUAGCAGCUGAAGGAGGGGUCUGCAGGAAAUUUAACCUUACUAAUUGCUGUCUACACAUAGAUGUUCAAGGGCAAGUAGUUGAAGACAUAGAGAUAUGACAAAACUGGCACAUGUGCCUGUGCAAGUGUGGCAUGGAUUUGAUCCUGGGGCCAUGUUUGGAAAAUGGUUCCCAGCGCUAGGAGGAUUUCAAACUCUUAUAAUAGGAGUUAUAAUAGUAAUAGAAACCUGCUUACUGCUCCCUUGUUUGCUACCUGUACUUCUUCAAAUGAUAAAAAGCUUCAUCACUACCUUAGUUCAACAAAAUGCUUCAGCACAGGUGUACUAUAUGAAUCAUUAUCGACCUGCCUUGCAAGAAGACAUGGGUAGUGAGAAAGAAAGUGAGAACUCCCACUAUUGAGUGAGAUUCUCAAAGC